UACGUAGGGCGCAAGCGUUGUCCGGAAUUAUUGGGCGUAAAGAGCUCGUAGGCGGUUUGUCGCGUCUGGUGUGAAAACCCGAGGCUCAACCUCGGGCCUGCAGUCGAUACGGGCAAACUAGAGUACUGCAGGGGAGACUGGAAUUCCUGGUGUAGCGGUGAAAUGCGCAGAUAUCAGGAGGAACACCGGUGGCGAAGGCGGGUCUCUGGGCAGUAACUGACGCUGAGGAGCGAAAGCGUGGGGAGCGAACAGG
rnacentral:rRNA from 1 species